GGAGUAUCCCUCCAUCCGGAAUUACUUGUUGCAUAAAUGGAUAAAAUUGGAUGUAUCUAGAACUAAAAUACAUCUAGAUACAUCCAUUUCUCCGACAAAUAUUUCUGGACGGUGGGAGUAGUAC
rfam:Triticum aestivum genome assembly, contig: Triticum_aestivum_CS42_TGACv1_scaffold_405106_5BL